AUCCAGGAUAGGCUGUGUCCAGCUGCAGGCCUAUUCUUGAUUACUUGUUUCUGGAGGCAG
ncrna:Sarcophilus harrisii (Tasmanian devil) microRNA sha-mir-26a precursor